GACGAACGCUGGCGGCGUGCUUAACACAUGCAAGUCGAACGGAAAGGCCCUUCUUGCUGGGUGCGCGAGUGGCGAACGGGUGAGUAACACGUGGGUGGUCUGCCCCGCACUUCUGGGUAAGCGUGGGAGACUGGGUCUCAUACCGGAUAGGAGCCAUUUUUAGUGUGAUGGGUGGAGAGUUUUUUGGGUGUAGGAGAAGCGCGCGGCCUUUCCGCUUGUUGGUGGGGUAAUGGCCUACCAAGGCGGCGACGGGUAGCCGGCCUGGGAGGGUGGACGGCCCCCUUGGGGCUGAGAUACGGCCCAGACUCCCACGGGAGGCAGGCGGGGGGGAUAUUGCAACGUGGGCGCAAGCCUGAUGCAGGGACGCCGCGUGGGGGAUGACGGGCUUCGGGUUGUAAACCCCUUUCGCUCGGGACCAAGCUUUUUGUGACGGUACCUAGAGAAGAAGCACCGGCUAACUACGUG
rnacentral:rRNA from 1 species